AGCUCGAUGAGUAGGGCGGGACACGUGGUAUCCUGUCUGAAUAUGGGGGGACCAUCCUCCAAGGCUAAAUACUCCUGACUGACCGAUAGUGAACCAGUACCGUGAGGGAAAGGCGAAAAGAACCCCGGCGAGGGGAGUGAAAAAGAACCUGAAACCGUGUACGUACAAGCAGUGGGAGCACCCUUUGGGGUGUGACUGCGUACCUUUUGUAUAAUGGGUCAGCGACUUAUAUUCUGUAGCAAGGUUAACCGUAUAGGGGAGCCGCAGGGAAACCGAGUCUUAACCGGGCGUUAAGUUGCAGGGUAUAGACCCGAAACCCGGUGAUCUAGCCAUGGGCAGGUUGAAGGUUGGGUAACACUAACUGGAGGACCGAACCGACUAAUGUUGAAAAAUUAGCGGAUGACCUGUGGCUGGGGGUGAAAGGCCAAUCAAACCGGGAGAUAGCUGGUUCUCCCCGAAAGCUAUUUAGGUAGCGCCUCGUGAAUUCAUCUCCGGGGGUAGAGCACUGUUUCGGCUAGGGGGCCAUCCCGGCUUACCAACCCGAUGCAAACUGCGAAUACCGGAGAAUGUUAUCACGGGAGACACACGGCGGGUGCUAACGUCCGUCGUGAAGAGGGAAACAACCCAGACCGCCAGCUAAGGUCCCAAAGUCAUGGUUAAGUGGGAAACGAUGUGGGAAGGCCCAGACAGCCAGGAUGUUGGCUUAGAAGCAGCCAUCAUUUAAAGAAAGCGUAAUAGCUCACUGGUCGAGUCGGCCUGCGCGGAAGAUGUAACGGGGCUAAACCAUGCACCGAAGCUGCGGCAGCGACACUAUGUGUUGUUGGGUAGGGGAGCGUUCUGUAAGCCUGUGAAGGUGGCCUGUGAGGGUUGCUGGAGGUAUCAGAAGUGCGAAUGCUGACAUAAGUAACGAUAAAGCGGGUGAAAAGCCCGCUCGCCGGAAGACCAAGGGUUCCUGUCCAACGUUAAUCGGGGCAGGGUGAGUCGACCCCUAAGGCGAGGCCGAAAGGCGUAGUCGAUGGGAAACGGGUUAAUAUUCCCGUACUUGGUGUUACUGCGAAGGGGGGACGGAGAAGGCUAUGUUGGCCGGGCGACGGUUGUCCCGGUUUAAGCGUGUAGGUGUGUGUUCCAGGUAAAUCCGGUUCACUUUAACACUGAGGCGUGACGACGAGGCACUACGGUGCUGAAGCAACAAAUGCCCUGCUUCCAGGAAAAGCCUCUAAGCAUCAGGUAACAUCAAAUCGUACCCCAAACCGACACAGGUGGUCAGGUAGAGAAUACCAAGGCGCUUGAGAGAACUCGGGUGAAGGAACUAGGCAAAAUGGUGCCGUAACU
rnacentral:rRNA from 1 species